rnacentral:rRNA from 1 species
GUGUCAGCAGCCGCGGUAAUACGGAGGGUGCAAGCGUUAAUCGGAAUUACUGGGCGUAAAGCGUGCGUAGGCGGUUAUUUAAGUCAGAUGUGAAAGCCCCGGGCUUAACCUGGGAACUGCAUUUGAUACUGGGUAACUAGAGUUGAGUAGAGGAGAGGGGAAUUUCAGGUGUAGCGGUGAAAUGCGUAGAGAUCUGAAGGAACACCAGUGGCGAAGGCGCCUCUCUGGACUCAAACUGACGCUGAGGUACGAAAGCGUGGGUAGCAAACAGGAUUAGAAACCCGCGUAGUCC